rnacentral:rRNA from 1 species
GAUCAUGGCUCAGGAUGAACGCUAGCGGCAGGCUUAACACAUGCAAGUCGAGGGGUAGAAGCAGCUUGCUGCUUUGAGACCGGCGCACGGGUGCGUAACGCGUAUGCAAUCUACCUUUUACAGAGGGAUAGCCCAGAGAAAUUUGGGAUUAAUACCUCAUAGUAUGUGAGAAUCGCAUGGUUUUCACAUUAAAGUUCCAACGGUAAAAGAUGAGCAUGCGUCCCAUUAGCUAGAUGGUAAGGUAACGGCUUACCAUGGCGACGAUGGGUAGGGGUCCUGAGAGGGAGAUCCCCCACACUGGAACUGAGACACGGUCCAGACUCCUACGGGAGGCGGCAGUGGGGAAUUUUGGACAAUGGACGCAAGUCUGAUCCAGCCAUUCCGCGUGCAGGAUGAAGGCCCUCGGGUUGUAAACCGCUUUUGUACGGAACGAAAAGGUUUCUAUUAAUACUAGGAGCUCAUGACGGUACCGUAAGAAUAAGCACCGGCUAACUACGUG